rnacentral:rRNA from 1 species
UACGUAGGGAGCAAGCGUUGUCCGGAAUCAUUGGGCGUAAAGCGCACGUAGGCGGACUGUUAAGUCGGGGGUGAAAUCCUGGGGCUCAACCUCAGAAUUGCCUCCGAUACUGGCAGUCUCGAGUGCGGGAGAGGUGAGUGGAAUUCCCAGUGUAGAGGUGAAAUUCGUAGAUAUUGGGAAGAACACCAGUGGCGAAGGCGGCUCACUGGCCCGUAACUGACGCUGAGGUGCGAAAGCGUGGGGAGCAAACAGG